AUCAACACCAUCAUUGGUAUAAUGCCAAGAUGAAUCAGCCUUGAUGACAACAAAAGAAACAUGAACUGUAUCGCCCUCAUAUUUAACAUCAUGAGAGAAGCAUUCUUCCCUAUCAAUCACAAAUCUAAUCCCAAACACUGCUUGGGGGCUCGACAAAAGUGCCAACAAUAGAACAGCAUAAAGUUCCUUAAGCCUUAUUCCCAUCUUUGAUGUUGCCUUUGAAAGCCUAAAUAACU
rnacentral:misc_RNA from 1 species